GGGUUGUGAGGUUAAGCGACUAAGCGUACACGGUGGAUGCCCUGGCAGUCAGAGGCGAUGAAGGACGUGCUAAUCUGCGAUAAGCGUCGGUAAGGUGAUAUGAACCGUUAUAACCGGCGAUUUCCGAAUGGGGAAACCCAGUGUGAUUCGUCACACUAUCAUUAACUGAAUCCAUAGGUUAAUGAGGCGAACCGGGGGAACUGAAACAUCUAAGUACCCCGAGGAAAAGAAAUCAACCGAGAUUCCCCCAGUAGCGGCGAGCGAACGGGGAGCAGCCCAGAGCCUGAAUCAGUGUGUGUGUUAGUGGAAGCGUCUGGAAAGGCGUGCGAUACAGGGUGACAGCCCCGUACACAAAAAUGCACAUACUGUGAGCUCGAUGAGUAGGGCGGGACACGUGGUAUCCUGUCUGAAUAUGGGGGGACCAUCCUCCAAGGCUAAAUACUCCUGACUGACCGAUAGUGAACCAGUACCGUGAGGGAAAGGCGAAAAGAACCCCGGCGAGGGGAGUGAAAAAGAACCUGAAAC
rnacentral:rRNA from 1 species